rnacentral:rRNA from 1 species
UACGUAGGUGGCAAGCGUUGUCCGGAAUUAUUGGGCGUAAAGCGCGCGCAGGCGGUCCUUUAAGUCUGAUGUGAAAGCCCACGGCUCAACCGCGGAGGGUCAUUGGAAACUGGGGGACUUGAGUGCAGGAGAGAAGAGUGGAAUUCCACGUGUAGCGGUGAAAUGCGUAGAGAUGUGGAGGAACACCAGUGGCGAAGGCGGCUCACUGGACCAUUACUGACGCUGAGGCUCGAAAGCUAGGGGAGCAAACAGG